rnacentral:rRNA from 1 species
UUGACCUCAGAUCAGGUAGA